rnacentral:sRNA from 12 species
UGCCUAAACCCGCAGGACUUCCUACGGGCAUGGCUCAAAAGACCCGAUGAAGAUACUGAACCCCACGUUCAGCGACUCUUCAUCGGGCCAUAUCAGGAAACUGGUAUGGGGUCGCAAGACCU